rnacentral:rRNA from 1 species
AGUGAACGCUGGCGGUAGGCCUAACACAUGCAAGUCGAACGGCAGCACAAGAGAGCUUGCUCUCUGGGUGGCGAGUGGCGGACGGGUGAGGAAUACAUCGGAAUCUACUCUGUCGUGGGGGAUAACGGAGGGAAACUUACGCUAAUACCGCAUACGACCUACGGGUGAAAGCAGGGGAUCUUCGGACCUUGCGCGAUUGAAUGAGCCGAUGUCGGAUUAGCUAGUUGGCGGGGUAAAGGCCCACCAAGGCGACGAUCCGUAGCUGGUCUGAGAGGAUGAUCAGCCACACUGGAACUGAGACACGGUCCAGACUCCUACGGGAGGCAGCAGUGGGGAAUAUUGGACAAUGGGCGCAAGCCUGAUCCAGCCAUACCGCGUGGGUGAAGAAGGCCUUCGGGUUGUAAAGCCCUUUUGUUGGGAAAGAAAUCCAGCUGGCUAAUACCCGGUUGGGAUGACGGUACCCAAAGAAUAAGCACCGGCUAACUUCGUGCCAGCCGCCGCCGUAA